GAUGAACGCUGGCGGCGUGCUUAACACAUGCAAGUCGAACGGGAUCCAUCAGGCUUUGCUUGGUGGUGAGAGUGGCGAACGGGUGAGUAAUGCGUGACCGACCUUCCCCAUACACCGGAAUAGCUACUGGAAACGGGUGGUAAUGCCGGAUGCUCCGACUCCUCGCAUGGGGUGUUGGGAAAGAUUUCAUCGGUAUGGGAUGGGGUCGCGUCCUAUCAGGUAGUCGGCGGGGUACCGGCCCGCCGAGCCUACGACGGGUAGACGGCCUGAGAGGGCGACCGGCCACAUGGGGACUGAGAUACGGCCCAGACUCCUACGGGAGGCAGCAGUGGGGAAUAUUGCACAAUGGGCGCAAGCCUGAUGCAGCGACGCCGCGUGCGGGAUGACGGCCUUCGGGUUGUAAACCGCUUUUGAUCGGGAGCAAGCCUUCGGGUGAGUGUACCUUUCGAAUAAGCACCGGCUAACUACGUGCCAGCAGCCGCGGUAA
rnacentral:rRNA from 1 species